rnacentral:rRNA from 1 species
GGGGUAAUGGCCUACCAAGGCGACGACGGGUAGCCGGCCUGAGAGGGUGUACGGCCACAUUGGGACUGAGACACGGCCCAGACUCCUACGGGAGGCAGCAGUGGGGAAUAUUGCACAAUGGGCGCAGGCCUGAUGCAGCGACGCCGCGUGGGGGAUGACGGCCUUCGGGUUGUAAACUCCUUUCGCUAGGGAAGAAGCCACUUUAGUGGUGACGGUACCUGGAUAAGAAGCACCGGCUAACUACGUGCCAGCAGCCGCGGUAAUACGUAGGGUGCGAGCGUUGUCCGGAAUUACUGGGCGUAAAGAGCUCGUAGGUGGUUUGUCGCGUCGUCUGUGAAAUCCCGGGGCUUAACUUCGGGCGUGCAGGCGAUACGGGCAUAACUAGAGUGCUGUAGGGGAGACUGGAAUUCCUGGUGUAGCGGUGAAAUGCGCAGAUAUCAGGAGGAACACCGAUGGCGAAGGCAGGUCUCUGGGCAGUUACUGACGCUGAGGAGCGAAAGCAUGGGUAGCGAACAGGAUUAGAUACCCUGGUAGUCCAUGCCGUAAACGGUGGGCGCUAGGUGUGGGGGUUUUAUUUACGAUUCCCGUGCCGUAGCUAACGCAUUAAGCGCCCCGCCUGGGGAG